rnacentral:rRNA from 1 species
ACUCCUACGGGAGGCAGCAGUGGGGAAUUUUGGACAAUGGGCGCAAGCCUGAUCCAGCCAUGCCGCGUGCAGGAAGAAGGCCUUCGGUUGUAAACUGCUUUGUCAGGGAAGAAAUCCUCUGGGUUAAUACCUCGGAGGGAUGACGGUACCUGAAGAAUAAGCACCGGCUAACUACGUGCCAGCAGCCGCGGUAAUACGUAGGUGCGAGCGUUAAUCGGAAUUACUGGGCGUAAAGCGUGCGCAGGCGGCUUUGCAAGACAGAUGUGAAAUCCCCGGGCUCAACCUGGGAACUGCAUUUGUGACUGCAAGGCUAGAGUGCGGCAGAGGGAGAUGGAAUUCCGCGUGUAGCAGUGAAAUGCGUAGAUAUGCGGAGGAACACCGAUGGCGAAGGCAAUCGUCCUGGGCCUGCACUGACGCUCAUGCACGAAAGCGUGGGAGCAAACAGGAUUAGAUACCCCGUGGUAG